CGUCCGAACGCUCCGUGUGGUAGUGGCCUCCUCCGGUUGAAAUCGUUUUCCGCGCCAAGUUCUUGUGAUGAAAUGUUUAACGAUACAUAAUUAUUUUGUUCGUCUCUCUUGGGUUAACAUGCGUAACGGAUAGAAUCAGUUAACGCGAUCGUGUUCGAUAUAAUAUUUAAAUACCCGUACUCUUAUCAUAUUUAUUAUAUUUCGUCGUUUGCGAGUAGGCAGGUAGAUAGGCAUUACCUGUGAUAUAGACAAUCCAUUGUCUAUUAGUGUUCGAAAACUACACGCGAAUCACAACGAUGGACACGAAGCUGACAUUUAGAAUUUUCGCGGUAACAGGUAAGGAGGACAGUAUUAAUAAUUAUGUUUCGAAGCGGCAGCUGGUGGGAACGGUAGGAUGUCGUCAUAAUGUCAGGUACCUACCUGUUUACGGAACCAUACAUACGCGUCCAAGUUGGUUUACCGAAAUGUUUUUCGAAAAUAUAUUUCAUCGAGCCGAUAUGCAGAUGUAUCGUAUAGUAGGUGUAGUACCUAUAAUAUUGUCGAACGAUGCCCGUUUUAGAAAAUAUUAUGAAUUCCGUUUUGAUCGGAACGACAAAGAAACGCGGCCCACGUGUGGCACGGGUAGGUGUACCGAAAAGCCCUUAACAAGAUACAUAUAUGUACGCACUGUUUCGGUGCCUACUGUCCGGUAAUAACCAAUUAACUAUCGGUAAAUACCUACGAUCAGCCGUUAAGACUUACGGGACCUAGGGGUAGGCCUGCAGGUAUUAUUCUUAUGCGGAUAAUAACACCGCGGUUUACUAUUAUUACGGCGCCUUUGACGGGUACGUAGGUACACUUUUCACAGUCCUACGAUUUUGCCAAAUAAAGUAUUUGACGUCGCCGGAGGGGGGAGGAAGAAGGAUUUUUAUAUUAUUAGAAAAAAAAAAACAAAAACAUAAUAGUCCUCACUCUUCACCAUGUUCGGAGUCUAAAAAUAAAUUACGCCCAGAGAAAAAAAAAAAAAAAAGAGGAGCUGAUAUUAUAUUAAAUAUUAAUAUUGUAUCAGUUUAUUUUCAAUGUUUAGGUAUAUACGGCGGUACAAUAUUUUCGUGUUGGCUAUCUACUUUAUUACGAAAAAAUUUUGAAUUUUUUACUAGUCAAUAUUGUAAAACUGUGUUACCUAUUGUACGUUAUUCGAGAUAUUAAUAGCGAUUUUUUUUAAUAACCAUGUGUAGGUACUUACAGUAGCCACUCAGGGAAUUAGGAUUCGAAUUUUAUAACGUCUCAAAAAAAUAAAAAUAUUUGGUAAAACCACGUAUCGCGGACAUCAGAGCUCGCACACAUUUUUCUAGGGGGACGGACAAGAUCGAGGACUAAAUUCAAUAUUUUAUAUUCCUAAUACAAUAUACAAUUCGAUAAAAAGAACAAUUAUUUAAACAAGAUAUAAUAUGUAUAGCCAUAAUAAAAACUAAGGGGGAGGGCAAUCACUUCAUUUUGCCUCCUUCCCUUCCGGGGGCCUAUAUGAUUGCAGACAACCAUCGCCGUCGUCGAAUCUCAUUACAACCUUACGGUGGUCCGAAUCUAUAUAUAGGCUUGACAUUUUCUCGAGAUAUUAAAAAUGAGUACCUUGCCCACAAUUUUUUAAAUUGAUAUGAACAAAUUAGUUUGUGAAAAUAUGGACCCGAUAAGUCACCCCCUUCCCAUACGGGAAUAGGGUAAUUAUAUGGCACAAGGGGUUGUUUUUCAGUUUUUUCGAUUAUACCUACCUGCGCAGAAUUAUCUUAAUAAAUAUAAAUAUUCCGGUUAAUUGACUUUUUUUUUUUUUUAUUAAUAUAAGUUCCGCGAUUUGUUUAAAACGUUUGAUGUGUCUACCCCGGGUAUUUAUAAUGUGUAUGUUAAUAAUAUUACCUAUCAUAAAAAUGAUUCGCUAAAAAAAUAUUCAAAUUAAACGUAUUGGCUUUAUAUUUUUUUAAAUCGAAAAACGGGAUGGACUACCCGUCGCCCGGACGGUCCGUGCGGCUUAAUACCAGAGACUGUAUAUAGACGUCCAUCAUCCCGCGAUCCACCGGAUUCGCGUUUGCCCUCGUAUUUAAUUGUUUUCAAAAUAAUUAUAAGCCGCGAUGUCACUUGUAAGGUGUUUAAAAAAAAAAAAAAUUACGCAAUAUUUUAUAUAGGUGCCUCUAUACUAGGUGUCCUACAGUGUUGUCCGGAUGCUAAUAAAAUCUGUUAAUAUAUGUGUACAUUUUCUUAAACAUUUUUUUUUUGCACCAGGGUUCGCGUCAGGGGGACACAAAUGUAGAGAAAAAUAACGUUUUCUUUUUUUCAUCCCUCCGUCGCUGAAUAAAUUAAUAAAUACAUUUUAAAAAUAGCCAUUUUGUAAAACAGGUAAGUACUUAUAUUAUUUAAGAAAAAAAAAAAAUCAACGUAUCAUUCAUAUCCGAUCAAUAGUUUCUUAGUAAUAGCCGUUUUAAUAGCUAGAGCGACAGUUCUCAAACUGCAGUGAUACGCGGUAAGCAACAUGGUUACAGUGCGGAAAAUAAACGAAUAAAUAUUCGUACAAAUGUUUUUUAAUGGAUCUAAUACUAUAUAUUCUAUAUGAAUGAUAUUAAAGUAUUUAACCGUCUUAUAUACUUAUCGUUUUGAAAUAAAUGUAAGGACAUUAUGAAUAGUAAGUUCAUUUUAUAGUUAUACGUAGUCACAGAUCCAUAAUACACAUAAGUGGUAAGCGAAAAAAAAAAGGUAGAGAACCUUUGAUCUAGAGCAGUGGUGACCAAUCUUUUUUUACAGAGAACAAUGAAAAAAAUAAUAACAAUUCUUGAUAGGCCAAAAAUUCAAACUUUUGUACUUUUAAGUUAAUAGAAUAUUAUAUUUUAUUGUAGGUAAAUUAUGUUAAUAUAGGUAUAGUGAUUUAUUUACUUAUUUAUUAUGCAUCGAUUGUUAUAAAUGAGAAAAAAAUGUAAAGUAUAAACAUAUCUUUUUUUAAUGUAGGUGUUAAUUUUUGAAAUUUGAAAUAAAUUUUUUUUUUCAAUUUUGAUCAAAUAUUUUGGUGGGUGGGCCGAUUAAUAAAUUAACGCGGGCCGGAUUUGGCACACGGGCCGUAGUUGGUCAUCACUGAUUUAGAGAAAGGUGUGAAAAACGAGAAUACUAAUGCCACGCGAUAGCGAAUCCUAGUCGUAAUAUGUAUUUAUAGGUACAAGAUAGGAAAAAUUAAAAUGUUGAAAUUAUAGUGGCAAUUGCUAAAAAAAACUGUUGAUCGGAUAUGAAUGUGUAAUGCGUUCAAAUUUUUAAAAUAAUAUAUUUAACAAAAUGGUUAUUUUUAAUAUUUUUAAAAGCAAUUAUUUUUUUCAGCGGUUAAGGGAUGGAAAUACAAAUUUAAUUUUUCACUACGUUUGUAUCCCCCUGACACAAAACCCGAUUGCAAAAUAAAAAAAAAAUUAAAAACAAUAAACGCUGACAGAGUUAUUAACAUUCGGAUAACACUGUGUGACAUCCUAGCUGCACCCGUUUCUCGUGGGACGUCAAGUCAAUUAAUUAACGUAGCUGCAUUUUAUUAGCUCCGCGGUUACUGCAGUCUAGAUAAAAUAUCUUAUUAGUUGUUUACAGAUUUUAUCGCAGUUUUAAUUUCGCAUAUUAUAUUAGGUUUUUUUAUUGGUUGAUAGGAAAUUGACUAGGUGUUCCGGAAAAGUGAGACGAACGAAUUAAAUCUGUGCGCGAUAAAUAAAUAAAACAAGUGGCAUGCAAAUCUCGUAUUUGAUAACGGUUCCGUGAUUAUUCUUUGGUUUAUCGUCGAAAAUUAGAAUACAUUCGUUAACAUACCGUUCCGGGAUUUAUAUUGGUUUGCUGGUUUCCGGCAUCUAAAUUUCACGAACGGAUCGAAUGAGAAUGACGAGAUUUACGAAACCGAUAUGGGUACUUAGGUAUACUUGUUUCAAUCAAAAUCACCGCGAGUCGAAUUUGUUCGAACGAAUGAUACGAUUCUUGCGAGAUCGCGUUAUUCCCCCGAACCGCCCCCCUUGGGGUAUGUUAUUGGUUAUUACUAAUUAUUGUAUUACAUUAUAAUGUCGGGUUGCGUAAACGAUUAAAUAAAAACGGUUCGAUAACCUACGGCAGUGUGACCGUACACGAUCGAUAAACCAUUAGAUAUUAAAUGAUUUUAUUGUACAGUCAUGCCCUGUCGCGUAAUAUACCUUCCCGUACAAAUUUACCGCGAUUUGUAGUUUUAUAGUAGAAUUUGAUCAGGGUAAUGGAUGCGGAUUGCGAUGCCGAUAUGAUGGUGAUGCUAAUCUAUUUUGAUACACGGUUAAAUUAUUAUCAUCACGGUUGGGAAUAUGCUAUUAUAAUCACAACCAACGCAGUGGCGGCUCGAAGCAUUUUUACCUGGAAUCACCGAUUUAAUUUUAAAUUUGUUACAUUUCAAUAAAAUUCGUCAAAUCUGUCGUAUUUCCGCAGUCUACAAUUCUUUUAAUGACUUUUGUUUCGUAAAAGCAUAGUAAUUUGUAUUGUAUUUCUGAACACCCCGACACCCACGACCCACCCACCCGUUUUUUUUUUUGUGAAACACGUGAUUCAAAUAUACCUCAUUCGAGCCGCCACCGGUCUCGCAGAUAAUAUUUCACGCUAUUCGCACUUAACAAAAUUUGUGUGUCAAGACAAAAUCUUUUAAUUUAAGAGCUUUUAAUUUACCGAUCCGAUACAUUUAGGUGCCUAUAUUUGUCGAAUCGAUAAAAUAUAAAACGUCGUUUCUGCGCCGGACAAUAAUUUUUAUCGUACCGAAUGCUGUUUUAUCGAUUCGAUACCUAGUACGAGUAUAAUAAUAGUUAUUGGUCGUUUAUGCAAUCCGGCAUUAAAAAUAGAAACAAAUUAUUAAUGCGUUAUUAUUACUGUAGCAAUUAUGCGGGUAGUAGACUGCUUUAUAUUAUUAAGACAAACGUAAGUAUAUUACGUCAUAAAGAAACACGUAUAGGUACAUAUUGUUGUGUUAUACUGCACGUUCGUAGUAUAUGUUGAGAAAGGGAUACUGUUAAACGUUCGACUGUAUUAUAAAAUGCGCUUAAAAUUUAAUUUUUUUCCGAUAGAAAACGUUAUUGUUGUUAUUGUGUCGGCAAAUUUGUAAACGAUAUUAAUCCGCAGUGAAACAACGCGAGUGUGUCCAAGUCGUAUUUUACGAUUGGAAUAUGAAAACCAACGUUUAAGUCAACGUUCGUAUAAACUUAAUAGUGAUUGAUCGUCUCGUGAUGAUGGAUCGUGAGAACGUAGGUUUAUAUAAUAAAUCAUCGUAAAUAAUUAGGUAAUCGUUAAAAUCGUUUGAAUUUCGGACGGUUUGUGAAGAGUUGAAAAUCGUCCCUUGUGUGUAGGACGGACGGUUAUCAAUAGAUGGUAAAAUGGAUAUGAAUACAAUAUUGUUUUGAUAUAGGAAAUCUAGGCAAUCGAAACGCGCCAAUUAUCGAACAGCGCCUGUAUAUGGGCACUAUUAUAUUGUAUAAACCGCAGAGAUUUCACACAUACUCAGUAAUAGUAUAUUCAGUGGCGGCACGAAGUAUUUUUACCACCUUUAGUCACCGAUUGGAGUUUUCAUCCAUUCACCUCUAUCGAAAAUACCCCCAAAAUCCACAAACCGGAGGGGUAAAAACCAAGUUUCCUCGGGGAUCUUUAAUGAAAUCCAUCAAAUUUCCGCAGUCUAAAAUUAAUUUAAUGACUUUUGUUUUGUAAAAACAUAACAGUUUUUGUUAUAUUUCUGAACAUCCAGACACCCACGACCUAUCCACCCGUUUUUUUGUGAAUCAAGUGAUUCAUGUAUACCUCCUUCGCGCCACCACUGAGUAUAUUAAUAUACAACAGUAUUGGAUAAUAUGGAUAAGUAUACAUAAUCAUAACGUACCGAGUUUAAUCCCGUACUCCUAAACAGGUAACGGCAUUAUUGGUUAGCUGUACUUUUGCGUCGGCGUAUUUCCGCAACGCGAAAUACAAUUUACGAAUACAAUUCUAUGUAUACAUCUGUACAGGUGUCCAACGAACAUUCAACAAACGGAAUACAAUUUUUUUUUUUUUUUAAUAAUUACCAAAGUCUAUUGGGUUAUGUGUAUUUUAUAUUUUUAUGUAAACUAAAAAUAUAAAUUUCUAACGUAAAAAAAAAAAAAAUGUUUUUAUAAAAUUCAUGAUAGUCAUUUAAUAAAAAUAUAUUUUAAAACAAAAUGUUGGUGUUCAAAUAUUUACUAAUGAUGAAUGUUCAAGUUUCUAUAAUUUUUUAAAGUUUAUAAAAUUACAUUAACGAAAUUAUUUUUCAUGGACAAAUUGGUGAAUCGAUUGAUAUUUUUUGAAAUUUAAGAUAAUUUAAAUCGUUUUCAUUGUCACUAAUAAAUAAUAUCAAAGGCUAAUAAUAAUAAAAUUAAAUGGCUCUCUUAGUUUUUGUAAAAAAACAAUUUUUUUAUAUUUUGUAUUUAUUAAUUUAAACAUUUUUUUAUUUUUAGGUUAAAAAAAAAUUAUAUAAAACGCAAAGGUUAGUGUGAUAAAUAAAAAAAAAAUGUGUUAAAAGUAUUAAACAGUAUAAAAAGUAUUGUAUUUGUCGAAUAUUCGUAAGAAACUACAUAUAUAUAUAUAUAUAUAGGUAGAUGGUUUUAACAUAAUUAGUUAUUAUUUGUAGGUUAGGUUAUCGUGAAUAUUCACGAGUCCGUACAUUUACUUUUAACAUAAUAUAAACGGUCGAUAUUUCAGAUAUUCAAGUACCUGUUAAAUUACACCUCAGUUAUAAAAUAGGAGUAUAUGUACCUACUUUAGAGAGAAAGUUAAUGUACGUAAGAUAGAUAUUUUAAUAUGAUCGUUGAUCAGUAAAAGUUGGUUUAACCCUCUCGGACACUUGUAUAAUAUAAUGGAAAUUUACCCUUCCGGCGGAUGGCGUGAUACCAUAAUCAGCUGUAUAUUUUCAGCAGCCAUUUCCCUGUAUAAUAUAGUAUAUACCUAUAUAAUAAAAUCAACAAAAUAAGCUUCACUUGUGAUAAUCGAACAAUGCUUUUAGCAAAAUUAAAUCGUAGACUUAUUAUUUAUUUGUAUACUAGAAAAAAAAAAAACCCCCCGAACGCUUCGAUGUUCACAUUUUGUAAUUUAUAUUAUACUAUUAUAUUCAGUGGUUAAUUUGGGUCGAAAUGAACGAGAAUGAAUGGACAGAAAUAUAAUAUGUGAAUAUAUUUUUAUGUAAAAAGUAUGAAAGGGUGUGACUCUAAUUAUAUUAGAUUUUAUUAUCCACAGUCAUAAAAAAAAAAACCCGUAUAAAAUGGUCAUUUAUGGGUAAACAUUUUUUUUUUUUAAUUUUCAUCAAUGUUCCUAAACAAAAAUUUCUAUUCUAUCCAAAUAUAUUAUAUUUUUUAAUAUCGAAACACUGAAAUGGAAAUCAUUUAAUACAGAUUAAUUUAUCAUUUUUAAUCAUUUUUCUUGAAUUAUUUUUAAAAUAAACUAAAAAUAACGAUAAACUCAAUACGAAUCUUGCAAUUAAGUUUUUUUGCAAACUAAAAAGUUUAAACAUUUCGGAGUGAUACAUACUAAAAAUAAUAGUUGAGCAAAUUUUUGAAAGUUUACUAAAAACUAGGAAUUAAACUCUGAACAUAGAGCUGUUUAAGGUGCGUAACAAUAGGUGGUUCAAAUGGUUUUAAGUUGCAAGAAGAUAUACGUAUAAUAAUUCUAAAUUCAAGAGUUAUGAUUUAUCAUUAUGUUUAAACGACGACGUGUAGCCAUGAUUGCAGUUUAAUGGCAUUUAACAAGUAAAUAGAAUUAAAAAACAUUAAAAGUUUUUAAUAAUAUUUUUAAAUAAAUAAUAUAUCUAAUUAAAAAUAUCACUUAAUGGUUACAAACGUUGUAUAGCUAAUUAAAAUAGGAAUUGGGCAGAUAGAGGUAUCAUCUGGGUAACGAGCAAUCUAUCCGCUUCACAUACACAUUAUUAGUGUAUUAUCAAGUAAUUUCGAAGCAAUAAUAAAUAAUCGUAUUUAAAAAAAAAAAUAUCCGAAGGAGUUUAAUUUAGGUACUAUCUGUUAUAAUGAUUAUCUUUGAAAAGGAUUUCAAAAUUAAGGAAAGUAUUUGAGUAUAUAAAUAAAUAAAUGAGUGAAUAAAUGUAGUCCAUUUUAAAGUAUUAUAAUUUUAGUUAAAAUUUUUUGUUGGGUUUCCUUUACAAAAUAGACAUUUGUCUUCUAGUAGUUACUAACAUACCUACAGCCAUAUUUUUGUAGUCUGUAAUCGGUACAGUACGUUAGUGCAUAACUAUAUAAUCAAUAUUCAAAGGAUAUAAUAUCAUUACGUUUAAACUUAAAAUUUGUUUUUAUUUAAGUAGUUGAAAUCGUUCCACACUUAAAACCUUUUGGGCUAGGAAUAUUCAUGUAUAUAAUGAAUAAUAUCGGGAUAGGUAUGCGGCAGAAUAAUCGUCGCGUACCUGCUGUUGGUUGUGCAUGCGAUUACGUUGCUGUUGUCAAUUUAUGUAACGCCGAUACGUACAGAGCUUCUAAAUGCGCCCGGCAUUAACAGGGCUUACAAACAUCGAAUUCUGUAAUGCGUAAACUAAUGGAUUUCGGGUGUGUAAUGGACUUUGAUGACAGUAUGCCUUAAAUAACUGAUCUUGGAUUAUUAAAGCGCUUUCAUACACUUAAUGUCCUAGUCAGUUUUCGAUUUUAAUAUCUUUAACAUUAACACGGCCAUUACGUUUAACGACGACGGAUGAUAAAAAAUUUAUAUACAAUAUUAUAUAAUACAUAAUUAUGCCCGACCGAUGAGUCAUCUCGUAAAUUAAAAUAAUAAUAACCGCAAUAAACGGAAGUAAGAAGUUUUAUUCAAAUUAUUAAUAAAUAAUCUUGUAAAUAAUCAAUGUAAAUUUAUCAACUACGACGUUUUCGAUUCUGAGAAUAUAGCUAUAAAGGUAUCCGUAUAUUAUAAUAAAGGGAGUUAUUUGUUUUUAUUUUGUUAAAACUUUUCGGGACUGUAACGUAGUCAUGCUUAAAGUUGCAUGACGUAGUAACUUUAUAGACAGGUAAUUGAACACAUAUGGCGGGUACUUUGGACAAAUCAUUUUUCAUAUUUCCCGGUUUAUUUCACAGAAAUUCGAGGAACACUGAACAAUAUUGUUGAAAAGAAUCAAAUAUGAAAUUAUUAAUACGAUUUAUGAACAUUUCGUAUACUUAUUAAUAUUAUUACGGUACAUACGUGGAUUGACAAUAUUAAAUUUACGUUUAGGUCGUAGAAUCGAUUUGGUUAUUAGUGGUAUUUUUGCGUUCGUGAAUAUCGGCCUACAUUAUAAUAAAACCAAUUAUAAAAUAGUCUACGUUACCUUCCCCUAUGUCGUUCGCUUACUUCUAAUUACUGUCCUUCUCGGACCGCAACCUACAAUGUAUUAAGCAUAGGAGUAUUCUAUUCAUAUAUUUCAUAUGGAUACUAAAAUACGACAUAGCAAUUUGCAGUCUGCUUGACGAAUAUUUUAUGUACUGCAGUUAUUUACCGCUUUUUUUUCUUGUAAAUUGUGUAUUUAAUUGUUUGGUAAGUUCACACUGUCUGUGUGUGGGCAAUCGUAUAAGUAAAUUAUAGCUUGGUCAAUUAACCCGAGUAUGUGUGACCCACCGUAUUUUAAAUUACCUAAGUGAUUUUCAUUUGGUAUUCUUGCGGGCGUUUUAUAGUCUUAUUUGUAAUUAAAAAUUUAGUUUCAUUAUACCGAUGUUGGUCGCUGAUCAUUUUUUCACACAUAUCGAACGUUUAAUAGCGAAUGAAUGGAAAUCAACUGAAAAUACGCGCAUCUAGUAAAUAAUUCGAAAUAACUAUAAUACCAAUAAGACAACAUUAUAAUACUGUCUAAUGUUCUUACAGCAUUUUAAAAUAUAAACGCGUAUUACCUAUUAACCUAUAAAGAUUAAUUAUUAUGCCAAUACAAAGUUUUUUUCUUACGUAUUUCAAUAUUUAGAAACGGGUAAUAUUGUUAUUCAUACGCCUAUUUUCGUUAAUAAAUUAGUUAGAUAGGUACAAAACGCAAUUCCAUAGAUAAUUAUAAUAUUGGUACCUAUACUUAAACUUUAGUAAUAAACUGUAGCAUAUUGUGUAUAAUAUAGUAUAUGGAAAUGCGAAUAUUUCCCUCACGUAGAAACAUAAAUGUAUAAUAAUAAUAAUAAUAAUAAUAAUACUAGUGUAAACGGACUUCUUCCUCUAAUAUCCUAUAAUAUAUAUAUAUAGUGUCUUUCCUUUCCUAUAUUUCGUGUGAACCAAAACAGCUGACUGCUAUGUGCUCUUAAGAUAAGAGUCUUAAAUUCGUUUCAAAAACCGAUUUUUUUUUCUUAUGUGUUAUUAUUAUUUUUUUCGUUUACUUUUCUAACCAGUUAUUACUGAUAUAAGCGAUAUUAAAUCCCGUGGUCCUGAAAUUGGCGAAAACAGAUGUGGCCAAUAGCUCGGAAUGACGUCAUUACGCGCUCGUUGUAGAAAAUAAUGAUUUAUAACAAUCGUAUACUAUAUUAUAAUAAUCUUGGCUAACUAUAUAUUAUUAUAAAUCCGAAACAAGAAUUUUGGAUGUUUUUUGAUUAUAAUAAUAAUAAUAAUCGAAUUUGUUUAAGCCAUUUUGUUCUGAUUAUUUAAUAUAUUUCACGAUUGCGAGCAUAUUUAUAAAUCAAGGAAUAUUAAUUGUUUAAACACAUUUUUUUUUCUGUUCAAAUAAUUUAAAAAUAAAUUCGAAAAAUGAUAAAUAUAAUAUAUAUACUAAUUUUGUAUGUAUAUGAUGGCCAUGAACUAAAAAAAUGUUUACGCCAGAUUAUAUCGGUGAUGUGUAGAUCUUAAUAAGAUCUUAAGAUUGUUACCUAAUUUUUUUGUAAUUUCUUCUUUACACGAUGUCAACUAGCCAACUUUACAAUAUUAACUAUAUGCAUAAUACCUACAUAACUGUUUAGAAUAGAGAAGAUGAUGAGGUAUGUAAGAAUACAAAAAUUAAUAUUUUUCAGAAUAUACUACGUAUUGAAUAAUUCUGCGCUCUCUGACAGUGUGAUCAUAAAAACGUGUUAAUUUGUCAACUAAAAAAUAUAUUAAUAUUCAUUUUUUAUUUGUUUAUUUUUAAAAACUAAUUUAAGCGGACUACCCCCGGAAUUCGUCCAAAAAUAUAAAACAUAAAUUGUAUAAAGUUUUGUGAUAAUUGGUCACCCUUAAGACUACGCGCCUCAAGAGAGUUAAAGUUAAAAAGAUAUCUUUUUUGAUUAUAUUUACGAUAAGCAAAAAAUUAAUAGAAUAAUAUAUUCUUUAAAUUAAUUUCCCUACUUAAAUUGUUACAUAUGCUUUUUUCACUAUACAACCAAUUCAACCAAACAAUGAAAAACUCGUUUUUUUUUGUGUAGGUGAAUGAGUCGUUUAAUGAAAAAUGUACUAAUACAAAUUAUAAUAGACAAUUUACAUUAAACAAUAUUUUAAUUUUUGCUUAUUAUAAAUAUUUUAAGUUUUAAUUGAAAAAACCAGAAACAUAUUUUUUGGAACUUUAACCCCUUAAUGUUGAUCAAAAUUUAAGAAACUUAUUACAAAUAAUUAUUUUAAUUUGUUUAUAAUUUUGAAAAAAAUCGGGAGUAGUCAUCCAACAAUUGAAAACAAAUUUCUCAUCUAUAUAAAAUUAGGAAAAUAUAUUAUUUUUUUAUAUAUAUAUCGUAAUUUAUAUUCAUAUUUGAUUAGUUUGGCUGAGUGAUACCAAUACAAUAAAGGCCUUCAAAUAAUUUAAUGCCAGUAUAUUAAAAAAUAACUACCCAUAAAUUUAUUCUCUAUUGUUUUUGAACGUCACUUAUAUUAUAUGUUCAUCAUUCUAUAGUUUGUAUUUAAUUUUAUUAUUGUAGAAUUAAUUAAACGAUAAAAAAAAUAUAUUAAUUGUCGACUGUCGUCGUAUGAAAUAUAAACAUGAUUUAUAUAAAUGUAUCUAUAAAAUAGUUUCUUUUCUUUUACACCGGUUUAUUAUAUAAUAUGAAUUUAUUAGUGUUUGUGAAUAUGUGAACACAAAUCUAUGUGCAUACUUGAACAGUUUAGUUUUUAAAUUCAAUUUCAAGUUGAAUUUAAUGUCUACCUACAUUAAUAAUAAUAUUCGCACAAGGUUCUAAAUAAAAUAAAAUACAUACGCAAUUUUAAGUGGACCAACGAAUUAUAUUAUUACAUUUAUAAUAAAAUUAUUUUGUAUGUUUACUUUGUUAUUAUUGUAUUUUACAUCAUUGCAUUGAUAUAUUUAUCAUCAAUAUAUCUGUAGCUCAUCGUUUAAACUAAAUUAAAAUAGGUACAAUGCCUAGAUGCACAUCUAACUUUUUUAAUAUUCGAAAAAUAAAAUAUUAUUUCGCAUCGAGAUUAACCAUAGGAAAUAAUUUUUUUUUUUUUUUUGAUGAUAGAAUUAUAUGCAUUUGAAAUAUAUGCUUAUCAAAUUAUAAUAUUUAAUUUAUAACAUUUUACGAACUAUGUAUAUAUCGUUAAUUAUUUUGAAGUUAAGAAUUAUGGUUUAAUAUUGAAAUAGUAUAUGAUAUUAUAUAGAACUUGUACAAUUGUCUGUUUGAAAUUUUACCAGAAUGUGUAUAAAAUGCAUUUCUCGCUAUGCUCGCUCAAUAUCUAAAAUGAUGUACAAAAUAGACUAAAAGUACUUAUUCUAAAACGAUGACAGAUUAGUUUGUUUAAAUGACGACUUCUACUUUAUUCCAUCAUAUGUAAACAAUUCGUUGCCAAAAUUGUUAACACUUAUUUAUCCACCGGAAUCAAUUCACACUUGUCUUGUCUUCUGUUGAGCUUCUAAAAUAUGAAAUCCUGCCAAUAUUGUUCAAUACAAAUGAUAAAUUAUUUUAAAUUUUGAAUGGUAUACAGUAUUAAUUUCUAUUAUUUUAAUGUAAAUUAUAAAUUUUUAAUACUUAAUAAUGCUUUAACUACAUUUUUUAUAUUGAACAAUUAAAUUAUUACCAUAAUUAUUUUUUUCUUUAUGUGUUUAUUUGUAUGAGAAAUAAAUGAAUGAUAAUAAUAUAAUCUAUGUAAAAUACUAAUCAUUGUUUUCAGAUGUAUAACAUAUUAUUAUAUUUAUUUAAAUGCAACAUUCUGAUUCAUAUAACCAAAAUGAUAUUAUUGAUAGCAAUUAAAUGUUAUAUACCGCUUUAGAAUUUAUCAGCUUGCGAUUUCUAUUAUCCUAUAUCGUUUAUCGUAUUGUUUAGUUAAAAAUUAAAACAAAGUGAUGUUCAAUUGAUAAUAUUUUGAGUGAUUUUAAAUUGACUGGAAUAAUAAUAAUAUGAUUAUCGUGAUCAAUGACCGUAUUAUUGUUAUUAUAUUGAACAUUAAUGACAUCAAUGCAGUUUCCAAAAAAAAAAAUCCUCUUCAAAUGGUUUUGUUUCGAUUGGAACUAUAAUAUAUAUACAAUAUAUAGGAAUAUACAGAGUGGCUUAUGAUGAUAUACCCAUUGCCAUAUAUUUGGAGAUAAUAAAGAUAAUCAAAAUCUUUUUUAUUUUCUUAUAUAUUACUCACAGAGAUAAUAAUUACUAAUACCUAUAUUUCAAUUCAUAUUGUAUGUUUUGGUAAAAAAAUAAUAUCUUUAAUUUAUUAUUUUUAAAAAAAUUGAAAAUAGCCAUUUUAUAGAAUUUUUUUUUCUGAAUAUUUUGACGAAUCAAAUUUUUGUUUUUAUUGAAUACGAGAUUUUUAAAAAAUGUUUAAAGUUCGGAGAAAAAAAAGUAAGUACAGUUAAUUACUUAACCGUAAUAAUAUAAUAAACUAGCGACUUGAUGCUUAAUUAUUGGUACUUUUCUCUGAACUUCAAAAAAUUAUUAAAAUCACGAAUUUAACUAAAAACAAAGUUGUUAACAUUUUCAGAAAUAUAAACUGUACAAAAGUUAGUUAUCUAUACAUUUUUCAAAAAUAAAAAAAAUAAAGUGUUAUUUUACUAAAACAUAAAAAUUGAAUUCAAAUAUAAAUAUUUGUAGUCCUUGCCCCUGCAAGUAAUAUAUAUAUAAAAAAAAACAAUAGCAUUUGACUAUUUGUAUUAUAUCAGGAGUUAUUGCAUUGGGUAUAUCUUUGUGGGACACUCUCUCUCUCUCUCUAUAUAUAUAUAUAUAUUGUUUGAUAUAUGUAUGAAAUAUAAGUGAGAUUCAUCGUCUUUUAAAUGUUAGGUUAGGAUGAAAUAAAAAGGAAGUCGUCCAAACUCUGAUUGUAUAAAUGCAAUUUGAUUUUUGUUAUUGCAGGGUUUGCACGAUAUUAUUUGUUUAUAAAGAUGUAUUUUACUAAAAAUAUCUUCCAGGACUUUGGCAAAUGUUUAAGUGUUCAAAAAAAAACAUAAAGAAAAAGUCCACAGAAAUCGUUUUUUUUUUUCGUUGUCAGAGUUCCAAGUAGCUUUGAGGCCGUUUAUUUUAGCCAAUUGACGUAGGUUCACAAAUAUUAUGUGUACGUAUGUAUAGAAAAUAAAUAUUAAACAAUUUUUUAACCUAUUUUGGAAUGUAAUACAUUUAAAGUUGCGCUAUUACUUAUACACAUAACUUAUAUAUUUGUAUAUUUAUCUAAUACAUCACUAUUUCUUAUUUAGAAAUCUAGCCUUAAUCUAACCCUAAAUAGUAUAUAAAUUCAAAGUCAAAUAAAAACGAAAUAUUUCUGUAGGUACAGUUUUAAUCUGAUCUUUUCUUAGUUUCAAAUUCUCUUGGACACCAUACACGAAUAAUAUGGAACGUACGUAUAAUUUCGUACAACCAUAUUCUUCUUUUCACAUUCGUAUAGGGCGCAUGAUAUUCUAAACAUAAGUGGUUAACUAAAUACAUAAUCAAUGAUCUCUAAUAUUAGACCCUGUCCGUUCCAACCCAUAUUAGAUACGUACAAAACAAAAUCAUUUAUUCAAAAGAAUCUACACACGAGAUCGUAGAUUAACUUAUUUUUGAGGAAUACUUUUUUUUUUUAUAAAAUUUAAGUUAAAAUACAAAUUUCAGUCCAACUAUACAGUAUAUGUUUAUAUGGUAUAUACUAUGUAUAUUAGGAUAUACUGCGUACUAAAAAAGUAAAACAAUUUUUAUAAUAUUAAUGACAAUACAAUGAAUUGAUACAAAAAAAAAAGUGGCCGUGUACAUUUUUUGUUUUGGGAUGUUUACAAUUCAAGUGACUGAGUGGCCUCGAAAUUAUUUGGAGAUUAUAGCCGUACGGUGUAGGUUACGUCAUUGCUACCCGAAACGAACGUAAUAAACUUGAUGAUAGAAAAGAAUGAUACUCAGGGUUAGAGUUUCACAAAAAGGUCAUACACUCGUUGAAACUUGCUCUAUUUUUUGAUACAAAUUAUUAUUUAUAUAUUUUUUCAAGGGCUCUCUACACUCUGCAAUGAAGACAAUUAUUUAACUCUACAAUUGUACAAAAAAAUGUUCGCUUCAAAUGAGAAAUUGUUGAUAUGCAUUAUUUGGGCUAUCAUGUUUCGGAAGAAUAUAUAACGUUUUGGCACUUUUAUGGUAGUAAAUGGAGGAGAAGGAGUGUGAUAUUGUAAAGUUGGACUCGAUUGCUGGUUUAAAUUGACAUUUUAAUUGGUGGAUAGAAGGGGUUUUGUUUAUUUAUAUCAUCAAAUACGUCAUUAGUAUGAUAACAUCGUCUUUGGUCAAUAACAUCACAAAUCGAUUUAGCGUUGAAAACAACUUUUGUUUUUUUGUUAUUGAUACGAUGUGUGAAAAUGGGUGGAGAAAAAUAAGUGUCGUUUAAACAUUGAUCAUUUAGAAUAUAAUGAAUGACAUGAUGCAUCAGUAUGAUUUGCUUAAAGGCAGUUGAAAAUCGAACUAAAGAUAACGGAGUAUGUAAAACGAAAAAAAAUUGACUUAAACAUUAUUUUUAUUCUUACGAAGAUCAUUAUCUACAUAAUAUUUUGUUGGGUUUAACACAGGGUUGAAACGUAUAAUUUAGUAAAGAAAUAAAACACGUAUUAUACGUAUGUAUAAAACGUAUAAAACUAUUAGUUGUAUACAUUUUAUACUGUACACAAUUAGUAUUUUUUUGGCUGCAAUUGAACAGAAAUUAUAAGGUAGAAUAAUUUUUAAUUGAAUUUAAUCAUCAUUUUUUAUAUCCUAUAUUAACUACCUAAAAUAUAUGUGAUUGUUAUAUUAAUUACUUUAUCAUUAUUCUUUAUAAAUAGCUACAUUAAUAUGUAUAAUAUCAAAAAAUAAUUUGUUUUGUUUUUAUUUUAUUUUAAAUUUAAGAAAAUUCACCAAAUUCAUGUGAUUUGUUAUAUUGAUUUAUAAGUUUAAAUACUUAUUAAAAUUUAAAAUGCACAUUAUUAUUACUAUAAUAAUAAACUUCAAAAAAAAAAAAAAAUAAAAAUGUCAGUCUUCAUAAAGUUUUAUACGUUUAGUCAUUUUAUACGUUUUAUAUACGUGGGGUAUCCGGUAUUAUACGUGUAAUGUACUGUAACGUAUACGUUUUGUACACGCAUAUUACCAACCCUGGUUUAAAAUAAUAAUUUAUAUCGUAUCUCAUAGUUCAAUUCGUAUCACACAUAAUGCGCGAUAAAUAUAAUUCACGAACUAAACGAUUACAUUUAAACAGUAUGAAAGAUUACCCACAUCGAUGAAAUCAUUCGAUAACGUCUAUUCAGUUACUUCAAUUACCUCUAUACCUACGUCUGUAGUUAACUUAUUAUAAUAAUUAUUCGCUUUACCUUAAAAUUUAAAAUUCACUCAUUUGAAAUGUCAGGGAUACAUUCAGAAUGCCCUGUUUUUAAUAAGAAGUGGUUGCUGGAUUAUUUGGUCAUUUAUUUAGGUAACAAAAUAAUAUGUUAUUUGAUGUUAUGUGUUAUGGAUCCAGUAAUAUUAACAGUAAAUUCUAUUUACUGGAGCGCAUUUAGGCAUUGCCAAUUUCAAAAGUUAAACUUAAACUUUAAAAGAAAUAGAAACAUAAUUUUUACAUUAAUUUGAAUUAACGCUUGAAAAAAUAAAUUUCAAGUUUUCAUCCACAUAAAAAAAAUUGGCAAUUCCAAAUAUGUAGAUUUUACUUCUCAAUAUUUGAAAAUUUGAUCACGUCUCGUAAGUGUCAAUUUAAUAAGUUAAUAAUAAUUUUUUAUACACACAAACACACAAAUAUGUCAUAUAAAAACAUUUUAGCAAUACAUUCUUUGGUACGCCAACUUAUAAUCUGAAAUGACAACCGGGUUUGCCGAUUUUAUUUAAAUAUUAUUUAAUUAAUUGUCGAUUCAAUCGUAAUUUGUUUAAUUUUAACCGAAUAUAAUUAUUUUUUAUUGUUAAAAUAUAAUAUUAUUUUCUUGUACAAUUUUUCAUAAUACGCAAUCGAUUAAAUUAAAAAUUUUAACUUGUUUGUUCGGUAUUAUACAUCGUUUAUAGUAAAUUAUUAGACUAUUGAAUCGGUUCGACUUGAAACGGUUGUAAUGGGGGUAAUUCAUUACAUUAAUAUUAACGAAACUCUUUUAAUCAAGUCUAUUGUUCGCGCGUUGUACAUAAAAUAAUCUAGAUAAUUGCAUGGGGUGGAAAACAAUGUCUCGUAAAAAUCAUUCGUUUUUAAUACUUAUAGACAAAAUAAAAUCAAAUAAAAAUAAAAAUAAAAUAUUAUGUUAUUUAUUUAUUCUCAUGACUUAUUUUGUUUAUAAUUAAUUAUUGGACAAAACGAUGAGAAUUUAUCGACCUUAUAAUUAAGAUUCAAUGCUUCUUGUAUGUAAGUUUUUACUCUUAAGUAAAUCAAGUGUGUUCAAAAGUUUCAUAAACUAAAAUUUAAAUAACUAACCAUUAUAUAAUAUAUAUUAUUCUAGUUUUUCAGUUAGCUAUUUUUAGAUUCCGAGCGAAGCUAAAUGACUGAUAUACAGAGUGUUUCAUUCGACUGGCACUUAACAUAAAAUAUUUCACACUCGAAUGGACAUUUUUUUUUUGUGGAGGGGGAGGGGGUUUGCUAAAAUACAAAUUUUGAGCUAAUUUUCAACAUGUUAACCUUUUGUUCAAAUUACUUUAAUAGAUACAAUACAGUAAUCUAAAAAGUAAACUGAAAAAUAUGAUUUUUCUAAAUAUUUAGAACGCAUGACUUUGAAAGUGAAGACAUUGUUUGGGAAGAAGUUUCUUCAGGAGAAAAAAAAUUAGAGUAAAGAUAACCAGAAAGUUAUAAAAAAAGGCUAACACUAUUGAUGAGCGUACCACUGUUUUAGACAGGGAGUUACAAGAGAGGAUAUUAUAUAAUGUAAUUUAAUUUAUUUCUACACGCAAAAAUUAACUACUCUUAAAAAAAAAACGAUUUUGAGCAAAGUAUUUAUAAGUUGUAUUUUUAUAUUUUUAUCGAGGUAACCCUAAAAUUAAGAAAACAUAAUAAAAUCACUAGUUUUCUCAUUUAUUAGGAAAACUAAAUUAUCCCUCGAAGGCGCUUUAGUUAGAUCAAAAAUACUAAAAGAGUAGCUUUCUAUACAUAUACUGAUCAUGGGUAAACCAAUACAUUUAUAGCUACGGUUAGAAUUUAAAAAUUGUAUUGAUUAAUAAAUUACAAAAAAAAAAAAAAUAAGUUUUACUAAAGCACCGAAUACACUGCAAAGAUUGAAAUGUUGUAAAAUUGGACCAAAAUGUGUAUUUUGGAACCCCCUUUCUACAAAAAAAAAUUAUUUCAGUCUGAAAUAUUAUUUGAGAGAAACACACUGUAAUUUAUGUAGUAACUGCUGGUUUUUUAGUAUAAAAAUGUGAUUUUCGGAAAAAACAAGUAUACUUAUACCUUUAUAUAUUUUUAUUUGUAAAAAUAAUUAUUUUUAAAGAGCGAAAAAACAUUACGGUAUUCUUAAUUGAUAGGAGAAAAGUGAACUGGGAGAUGAAUGAGAUGCUACUUUUAACCGGUCGUUUUUCGACUUUCUGAAUAUUUAUUAUCUUAAUAGAAUGAAUUUAUACUACCUACCUAACAAAAUAAUAAUACCGUGAAAUUUACCGCACAUUCGUUUUUUUUUUUUUAACUAAAUUAAGUUCAAUUUAUAUACUGUGUUCCGAUCAGAAUCGUUUUUCGAAUGCUAUAAUUUAUCGUUGAUUUCAAUAUGAAAAAAAUAAAAAUAAUAAUAAAAUAAUAAUUAUAAAUUAAAUCACGAUCCAACACCUUAAAUAUUAUGUACAUCCCGUCCGUCCCAUUGCGGAUUUUUAUCAACAAAUUAAAAACUAAUACAGUCAUUGAGAAAUUCAAACGUAUAAUAUUUAUUUCUAUAAUUAACAAACCGUACGAACCAUCGAUAUUUAUGUUUAUGUCAAUGUUUAUGAAUCAAUUACUACUGUAUACACAUAAAUAUAUAUAUAUAUAUAUAUAUAUUGAAUUAUAUAUUUCGCAAUUACUAACCUUUGUCAAAAUUCUUACAUUUUAAAUUAUUUUAUAAUUACUUAAUAAUUUAACUCCGAUAAAUUCCGAUAAUAUUCGAAUUAAUUAACAAUAUUUCCCAGAUAUUGUCCAAUACGAGUAAUUUCUUUUAAGCACCGGCAUUAGGUUUACAUAUUUUAAACAUUGUGUAUUUUGCAUUGUUGGGCCCGAAUGGGCUUGAAUAUAUUUUAUUGAAAUUAUCGUAAUAUUACUACGUUGUUGUUUUAUUUACAAUUUCGAUCAAAAAAUGCAAAAAUAUCGUCAUCAUUUUUUUUCGUUAAAGAAUAUUAAUUUUAUUCGUUUAUCCGGUGCAUAAAAAUAAUUAUUCUGUCAUACGCAUACCUUAUUCAUAUCGAAAUCGAUUAAUAAUACUGUUUUGAUAUUGUAUAUUUUUUUAUUAUUAUUUUUUUUAAAAACAAACCAUCUACAAUCUACAAUCUGUGCAGUAAUUUUUAUAUAAGGUAUGAAUGCAUGAUACAGUAAAAAUGAAAAAAAUAAAAUCGUUUAUUGGGGGAAAUUUGAUGUAUAUAGAGUGAUUCAAUAAUUUGUUCUAUUCUUUACAUUAUAUAUUUUUAAUAAUUAUUAGUUAUUACAAAUUUGUAAAUAAAAAUCAUUAAAAUAGCUAUUUUGUAAACUAAAUUUUUGGAAAAUGUCCGACAUUUUAAACGAAAUACCAGUGUAGCCAACAGAAUUUGCUACUCGAUUCACGGUACCUUUGUUUAAAUAUAAAAACAAAAUACAAAUACAAAAUAUAUAUUAAUAAUAAUUUAUAUUAUUUAUUAUUUUCAAAAACCGUUUAGAAUUUAGAAACAAGUAUAGAAAUGUUAAAAAUUAAAAAAAAAAAACUUCUAAAUUAUUUUUAAUCUCAUCUAUUAACCUCCGAGGCGGUUAUUGCGUUAUAAUUUUAUUGUAAUAUAAAAUUUCGAAAUAUUUACCAUAAAUUACCUUGAUUUCGAUUUUCGAUACUGUCUUAAGUAGGUAACGAUCGUAUUGGAAUAUGCCCAGAUAAUACUAAUUUUUUAUGACAUAUAUAUAUAUAGUGUUCGUUUGUUCUCUACAAUCUUCUUUAGAAGCAAGUAUUGAUUUUGUCCGUUUAUUGUAUGACUAGUAUUACAAUGGCCGACAUAGAUUUAUAUUUUAUUCAUUGACACAAUUUUGAAAUGCUCCACAGAUGUAAUACAAUUAAUGUAUUAGUGGAUUAUUCGGCUAACGAUCACGGUCGUAUAGGAAAUUAAAUAAUCAUCAUUCACCGAUGUCGAAUUUCUAAUGGUUUUGAUUAGACGAGAUCGCCGUUCGAUACGAUGCGACGUAUAAGCAUGCUAUCAUAAUAUUAUAACAUACAAGACGUAUGUUUUACUACACGAGUGUUCGGUUAUUCAAAUAUUAUCCGUCGAUAUAACGACACCUGCUUAAGAACACUUUUCCAAUUAGUUAAUUGGAACCUUUUAGAUGUUUCCGAGCGUGACACGUUGGUGGGUAUACGGGUAGUGAGCGCAUAUAGUUAUCGGAUCCGUAUCCCAUGGAAAUCUACAAAAACAGUCCACGGUAUUCAAUUUAUAUUUAAUUCCGCUCUAUUAUUUUAUUAUUGUCAUCUUGUCAUCGGGGGUUUUUUUUCUUGCGUUUUUCACUUGUUAAUAAUAGACGCUUCAUUAUCAUCAGUUUUUUUUUUUUUUUUUUGUUUUUAUACAUUAUCUUCUAUUAUAAUAGUUUAGUUUCAGUGCCGGUGUAAUAUUAUACAGUAGCUACAGUUAGUUUAAUAACAAUACCGACGUUAGGUUUUUUCUUAUAUGUAUGCUCGUAUAGUUACUAGUACAUAGUUACGGUUGUUGAUUUUGUUAUCAAGGACAUAUAUAUAUCCGUAACAUUAUUAUUAUUAAUUUAAAUAUUAUUUAAAUCAAUAAUACAUGUACAAAUUAAUAAAUAAAUAUAAAUUUAUACUAGUCAAAAUAAAAAAAAUUUAAAAAAAGAGCUAAUCCUGAGACGAGCGUGCCACUAUUGUGGGUGGAAAGUUGGGAACAUAGAUUAUAUAGGCAUAAAGCUAUUUAUAUCUGUAAACAACGGUGAAUCACUACUAACGAAAAACGAUUCAGAGCGAAGUUCAGAUAAACAACAUAUUUUGAAAUAUUUACGAUUUUAAUCAAAACUAUAUAUUAAAACUCUUGUGAAAAAAAAAUACUACACUCAUUUUAUUUUUUUAACCACUAUGUACCACAUAUAAUACCUUAUGAUAAACUCUCUAUAAAAUUUUCAAGCAUUUAUGUUUAAUCUAACAAUUUUAUCCAUAGAGAAGGUACCAAACAAAAAUCACUCAAAAACUCGCAAAAUUAAAAUGUCUACAAAUACAAAUAUAAUUACUUUAAAAAGUUUAAAAAUGUCCUGUCAACUAUUUACAAAUUAAGAUAUUCAAUUUAUUUCUUUGGGUUUCUAUAUGCAUAAGUAGGUUACCGAAUUCUUUCAAAAUUGUGUGUACGGAUUUAUAGUUUAGGAGCCAUGCUCGCAAAGUGGGAUACAGAUUAGUCUAUUGGUAUAAAUUCAUACAACUUAUCUUACUACAAAUCGUACAACUCAUCGUUUUUAUGUAUUGGUAAGGGUGUCAUAAUACGCGUGAUUAGUGUGGUGUCAUAUUAUGUGAUUACAAUGAAAUAUUUCCAAAAAUUAUUUAUUUACUUUUAUUAUAAUGUUUUUAUAUAUUUUCUUUAAUACAAUUUGUUUAAUGUACCGAUUUUCCCAAAUUUCUUACGUUUUGUCCGGUUUUUCCAUGUUUUAUCCAGGUUUUUCACAUUUGCUGGAAAAAUUAUUUGAAAAAUCAAAAAAUGAUCCUUUGCAGUACCUUUAUAGUAAAUUUUUUUUUUAGAAACAUUGCUACCAUUAAAAUUUAGAGUAAAAUUGCAUAGUAGAAAAUUGGUGCACAGAAAAAAAAAUUGUAAUAUUUUAUAUUAUAAAAUAAUAAAGUAAAAACAAAAUUAUUAAAAUGGUUAAUACUCUUAAAUAAAGAUAGUAAAUAAAUCUAUAAAUAAAAAAUGUAUUAUUCAUAUAUAAAUUGUUUAUUUAUAUAUUUAUUAACUAUAUUUAUUUGCUUAUUAUAUUACUAUGUACUUUAUUUACUAUUUUAGUAACAUAUUUCGUACAUUUUUCCGUUUUGUUUUUUUUUUAGUUUUUCAAAUUGUAUGAGAAAACUCUUGAGAAAACCGAAAAAUAACCCCCUUAAACCUUAAAGUACCUCUCCACACUGAUUAACUUUCAGAAAAAGUGCUACGCGUAGAAAUCUGAGCAAAUUUUCUGGUAGAAAAGUUGCGCACAGUAAAAAAAAAAUAAUCAUUUUUGUAAAACCAUAAGCUUCUUCGAUCCACUUUAAAUUUAAAAUACAAAUUACAAAACUUAUCAGUUUUAGUUCACAAGACGUGAUUACAAGGAAUAACAUACAAUAUGAUUAUUAUUAUUAUAUAUUUUAUGAUUAUUAAAUUGAUCAAAUCUUUUGUGCGUGGGCCCAUAUAUCAUGUUACGAAUUGUCGUGUAGCGAACUUGUUUUACAAUAGAUAUUAUGCACCGAUGCACGUUAAAACUUCAUCUUGUACUACAUAUUGUACAACAAUACCAUACAUGUUGUACGAUAAUCGUUUGUGAGAUAGUAUCAAACAAAGUUGUACAAUCUUUUGUACAAUUAAUUAUCGAAUGUAUCGCGUAAUUUUUGCCGUGAUAAAUUAUUAUUAGAACGGUGUGUUUAUAAUUAUUCAUUAUAUUCAUUAAGCCAUUAGGUAAACAACAAAAACGUAACCGGGUUACUAUAUUUUAUAAACAAGUCGUUCUGGUGAUUCCAGUUAUUAUACUUUGAUCAGAACUUUUGGUUCUAUAGUUUACUGAAACAUCAUAACCGAGCAAAAUGAACGGUUAUGAUGUUUAGUUUUUGGCAAAGUAAUGAUUAUAGAUAUCUAGUGAGUACUUUUUUUUUCCAUUUUCUUUUGCAACGAUCAUAAUCUGACCUCUUAGUAUUUGAGUCAUGCUAAUAUAUAUAAUAUAUUAAAUAUUACGUAUGACAUUAAGUAGAACUAUACAACAGUAUAAAAAUACAAAUAAAAUAAUUUAUAAAAUUAAAAAUAAAAACAUAACAAGGUAGCAACUAAGUGGUAACUAAGUUUGUCACGAAGCAUUAUAAUGUUAUGCCCAGAGUUUUUAUCGAUUUCAGUGCUGCUAGGGUAGCAUUAAUAAUUUCUUUCAUUGUCCCAGUGAAUUUUCGUAAUAGACAGAAGAGGAUAAUGUGUUCAAUGAUUUGAUAAGGGGAGCUACAGCCGUAAACAGGGGAGGGAGAUAAUCCCCAUUUGAACAUAGUCGCGUUGCAUCGUGAGUGGCCAGUCCUUUUGCGAUUAAGCAUUAUCCAAUUUUUGCUUCGGAGGUUAAAAUCAGGCAGAGUAUUUGAUUGGUCGCUGAUAUCUUGUCUAUUAAUUUGCGCAUUGUUGGACCAGUCCCGUUGCCACUCCACCUUAACGUGUAAUCGGUCUUUAUUAAUCUCUGUUCAUAUCGGACGAAUUGGAGAAGGAUCUAUAAUUUUAUCAUGGAUGGGAAGACUUUAAGAAUAUUACAUAAUGAUGUAUAUAAAAUAUAACACAUUAUUGAAUUUUCUGUCCAAUUGUUUUAAUCGCUGUAACAUAUUGGACAACGCUAUUUCCAUUGUACAUUAAUAAACUACACAAAUGGGUAAAUUUAUCCCAAUGCUUUCAACACAGUCAUACGGUAUAAUGUAUAAAUAAAUGUUACGAAUUUAAACGCUUUAAAUGUCUAUUGAAUGACUCGCGAUGAAGAAUAGCUUGUAUCCGAGAAAAUACCGUGAAAUUCCGUCAAAUGGUUGAUCCGUAAAAAUUAAAGAGUAAAACUAAAAAGAAAAAAAAACUUCAAGAGGACGUGAUACCCGUCUUCGUUUUUCAAGCGUAUACGAUGUAUCAAAUUUGUGUUCAGGAAGGAAACAUUGUAUUGCUAGUUGUAAUAUUACAGUGAAUUGAUCUAUAUCAACUAACUUUUAAGUAAGACAGAUAAGUGCGUUGCACAGAUUAAAACAUUAUCUGUGAAACGUCGGUGUUUUUUUUUAAAUACUUUAAUUUUCAAACGAACAAUUUGAAUAUUAUUUAAUUAUUAUAUUAUUUUCAUAUACCUACUGACAUAUCUCUCUUCUUUUGAUUCUCAUUCGCUUCCAUCCUAACUAUGUGCGGUCGGCCACCCUUGUUCUAAACUUCCACUUGACCCGAUUUCCUACUUCGCAUACACUGGCCUCAUAUACUCGCAAAUCUCUCUUAAAAAUUCAAAUAUGGAAAAAAAUAGUGCUCAUGUUGCACAAAUAAUAUUCUUAUCUUUAAGUUAUAAAAUAGAUCGAUUCACCCACUUUUGACUAGGUAUUCGAAUAUCAACGUAUAUUUAAAAUUCCAUUAAUAGAUGCAUUUGGUUAAAAUACAUUUAUUAUAUAUUGAAAUUGUUGACCCUAUUUUUAAUUUCUAUCAAUCCGUUGACAAGAUAUUCCGCUUUUAAUUUUUGGUAAGGGAAUAGUCUUGGAAGAGUAUUGGAGUAUAAUUUGUGUGACGACACGGCGCGGUUAUUUAAUUUUUUAAAGCUAAUUGUUUCUUUAAAUAUCUAAAACAAGAAAAUCAUAUAUGCUAUAGCGUUUUAAUAUGAAACUAGUUGUUUUUUUCUGUUUGUUAUCAAUUUGUCUACCAGAACUCUUGCUCCAGUCGUCAACAUUAUGGGUGGUUGGGUAACAGAUUGUAUUUAAUUAUAUAUAACGUGUACCGCAAGUUAAUAUUAUAAAUUGCUCAAAGCAUAUAUUAUUAGUUAUUACCAGGGCUAGGAUUUAUAUGCCACAGCAUGUUUUUUUUUUGCAACAUCUGAUUAUUGAUUUUGUCAGUAAUUUCCGCGAAUCACCUCAUGAUGAGAUAAGUGGCGGUGUUUUUAUUUUGCAUGUUUUUGCAUAUUUUGGAUAAAAUGCAUAUUAUUGCAUAUUUCGAUUAUAAGAAUGCGAAAAAUGCAUGUUUCGCAGUAUAUAUCGUAAUUAAUAUUUAUAAUUUAAUAUUAAUGUUUCGUAUUUAAUUAUAGUCUUGCUGAUUAAAGUAUAAAACUUGAUUUUUUAUCAAACAUAAAUUUUAUUUUUAUAAAUACAAUUCUAUGGUACAAUAGGAAUGCGAUAAAAGAUUGAAUAGUUUGACAGAGAAAGACUUCAUGAAAGUCUACAGAUUAUAAAAAAAAUGCUUGGAAUCGACUUCUUGAGUGUAACAGAAAAGACGCAGAUAAAGUUAAAAACAAAAUAUCUCUGAUUUUACAAAAAAAUAAAAGAUUUAAAACUCUACAAUUAAUAAAUAAAAUAUUAAAUGGCGAAUCGGACGAGGACAAUUUCAGUUGUAAUUUAAUAUCAGGACAAAUUUCUUUAUUUAAAUAUGCGCUAAUUAUGUCAUGUGACGUUGAACGGAGCUUCAGUCAAUAUAAAUCAAUGCUACGAUCCAAUCGCCGAUCAUUUAUAUUCGAAAAUUUAAAAAAAAUAUGUUGUCGUAGCAUGUAACAUACGUAUUUCCACUACUGAAUGUGAAUUAUAAAUUGUAUUUCCAAAUUAUUUAUUUUAUUUCUCAAUAAUAUUAUAUUAAGACGAACAGCCAAUCAAUAAUGUAUUUCAAUAAAUAAAUAUUUUUUUUUGUAACUAUAUUUUUGUGUUUAUCUUAUACAAAUUUAAACGCAUAUUUUGAGAAACAAAAUGCAUAUUUUACAAUGUUUUAUUGCAUACAAAUCCUAGCCCUGGUUAUUACAUGUCGAUUUACGAUUUAAAAUUUGGUGUGUCUAAAAUAAAAAUAUUCAAAAGUAAUGUGGUCACGGAAGGGAGCGCGUAAAAACCUGAAAUGUAAAAACUUGGACGGUACAAAUCUGGAAUAUACAAUUUUGAAAUCCGUAAAAAUCUGGACGGUACAAACCUGGAAUAUAAAUUGUAUGAAGAAGUAAUACUUGAACAUUUACCACAAGGUUCUUUAUAAGCUGUACACGCGGAAGUUGUUUUAAAUAUUAAAUUCCAAAUUUAUACCUUUUAGAUUUUUACGGGUUUCAAAAUGUUGUAUUCCAGUUUUGUACCGUCCAAAUUUUUACGGAUUUCAGAAUUUUACUGUUUAGAUUUGUUUUUCCAAUCAUUUCGUAAACCUCUUGGCAAAUUUACCUCCACAAUGCCCACACUAGUCAACAUUUCCUUUAAAAAAAGUAAUUGUACAUCGGAGCAAGAUUUCUUUUCGAAAAGUUGUUUCCGGACAGAAAAAAAAAAAGAAAUAAAAAUUAAUCACUAGUAAAACCAAUAGAUCCCUCCUCUCACAAUACGUUCUGAAUGUAAAUAAAAUAUGAGUACCGUAUUAUGCACCUUAUAUAUUGUUUGAAUUUUAUAUGGAACAGUACGAUUUGUCGUAAUACGCUCGCGGGCCGAGGACAUUUUAAUUAACUACACAACUCUGGCUCAAAAUUGCCAUUCCGUAUUGAAAUCAAAAUAGUUUGGACAUUAAGAGAAAUUUGAGUGUUUUUGACGGACCACUAAUGAAGUUGUGUUUUGACAUUCGAAUUACAAGGGGAUAAUUAAAACAAGUGACCUCAAGGUUUAACGGUUAGGUAUAUAUAAUAUAAUGUACGUGUUAUACUCUUCCGUCGUCGUCGUAGUUGUUUCACAGAAAUACAAAACUAAAUAUAUUUUACGUUUACCUUGACGGACACACACAGUAUUGCACUAAAUGCAUACACUGAUAAAUAAUAAAUCGGUCAAUUAUACGUUUGGGAUUUUAUCGGAUCGAUCGUUCGGGUAUAAAAUCAACAAUCAUAUUUAUCAAGUACCAAUAAAUCGAAAAUUUCACUCGGCGUUUUUUUUUUUUUUUUUUCACAGAGAAAUAAAUAAGAAAACAAUAACAGGACACACACUUUGUGUAUAUAUAUAUGUAUAAAUACUAUAAUCAAUUGACGUGUCUUAUAAUACUCGCACACGGGGAGUUCAGAACUAAAUAAAAACAAAUUUAUGUAGAUGUUUCCGAUACCAGCUAUAUCCACUAUAUUAUGCGUUAUUCGAAGAGUAAAACGCAUUCAUGAAACUUGUAACGCACAAUUUCGUAAAAACAAAAUUAUUUUUUACGUUUUAAUAAUGUUUGUGUAUGUGGGUUUUUUCCAUGUCGAAUUGAACGGACCGAAAUAUAUUUAUUAAUUUAUUUUUUUUUUUUUUUUUUUUUUUUUAUAUGAAUAUUUUUUAUAGAUCGAUUUAUAUACAUGUUAUUAUUAUUAUAUGAUAACCGAUAGAUUAUACGAGUGUUAUUUUUAAGACUUUGAAAGUUUAGCUAUUUUAUUACAAUGCGAAUUGCGCGCGGCCAUAUAAAAUUAUUUCCCUGCGGUUUAUUGGUUCGAUAUUCGGUACACGUUAUAAAAAAUAAUAUUCCGUUUUAAUAUCUGGAGUUGAAAUAUUAAAUACAGAAUACAAUUGUCAAUAUUCAAACUUAAUAAAUCAUCAUACAGAUAUUCGGAAAAAAUGCUGUAUACAUAUUUCAAGUUUUAUUAUAAUAUGAAAACAAAAAAACACAUAAAUACAAAUUGUUUUUUUAUAUUACUCACAGGGAUAAGGACUACAAAUAUUUAUAUUUGAAUAAUUGAAUUUGUACGUUUUGGUAAGGUUAGGUUAGGUCAACUUUUUAUUUUAAAAUUUUAUAUUCAAAACUUUUUAAAUUCGUGAUUUUUAAUAAUGUUCUAAAGUUCAUAGUACCUAUUGUAAUGCGGCAGGCUGUAAUAAUCGAAUUUGCUAAUUGACUACUAUUAUUGUUACGGGUAAUUGUUUGUAUACAUGUUUUUCUGCGUUUUAAAAAAUUAUUAAAAAAAUUACGAACAACAAUCUAUAAAAUUUCUAUCUUUAAAUUUUUCAAAAAUAAUUUUUUUACAUUUUUUUUUUACCGAAACAUAAAAAUUUAGUUCAAAUAUAAAUAUUUGUAUUCCUUAUCAUUGUGAGUAAAUGAAUAAUAUGUAUGAAAAAAAAAAUAAAUAAAACUUGAAUAUAUUUAUUAUCUCUUGAGAUAUUGCAGCAAUGGAUAUAAUAUCUUCGUGGGACAUUUGUAUACAAAUUUGUGUAUCAGUUAUCUGAUAAGUGAAUUUUAUAAUUUAAUUUUUUUCUCGAUUUCUCGAUGUUUGUAAUUAUAUAGAUUGUCUAUUUUUACGUACAAUGAAAUUUGUUUCGUAUAACAGUUAAAUUCCUUCGAUUAUACAAUAACGAUUAGUUAUGCUAUUUUAUAAUAAUUAUUACGUUAUAGCUCUAAGCAAAUGAAAAUGGUAUACUUUUCGGAUUUCUAUUAUCGUAUCAUUUCAAUUUUAUCUUAAUGGUAUGCUUUCGUACUAAAAUUUUACUAUAAUUUUAAUAAUAAUAUUUUAAUAUUUUUUUUUAUUGUUUAUUUUUUUACAGGUAUGUAUACAUGUAUUUGAAAUCUUUCGUCAUACUCGUACGGGAUAUCAAGAAGAGCUGACAACACAAAUUAAAUAAAAGAAAAACCUCUUGAAAAAAAAAAAAUAAUAAUAAUAAAAACCGGGCUCGGUGGUAUUAUGCGAGCAGUCACUAUAGUAGUACGAUAGGUAGGUACGUGAUAGUAACAAAAGGC